AUUUAUAUAGUUUAAUAAACAUUACAUUUUCAUUGUAAAAUUGUACAAUGUACUAUAAAUA
rnacentral:tRNA from 1 species